UGGAGAGUCCUCCUGGUCCUAUCCUCACUAAAACCUUUAUAGAAUCUAUGUGCUUUGUGUUAUUUAUAUCUGCUUUGGCACAGUUGUAGUCAAGGAGUUGCUGAAUGAAUUCAGUGGCAUCAUUACUAUAAUGGUUUUAUCCACUCUCUGAUCUAGAAAACAUUUUAGUGCUGGAUAUUUUCAUUUUGAGAAGCGCUGGUGUACAUCAGCAGCGCUCCCUUCCGCUGCACCGGAGGUUGUGGAUGUUGCUGUAAUCCUCAGGAUGCUGAGCAGAAUCCAUCAUGGGAUUUCACGCCUCCUUCUCUCUCUCCUCUCCUCACUCCCUCACUUCCUUGUUCCCUCGUCUCCUCUCUUUUCAUCACAGCUCCCCUGACCUUCCUACCCGGAGCGCUUCCCCCCUUCAUUUCCAUUGGAAAGCAGUCGUGAUGAGCUUCAGCCUGUUUUAGGGGGGGGGGGGGGGGGGGGGGGACAGGCUAAUCACUGAAACAAGUAAACAAGUGGAAAGCUCGCUGCUGCUACGGUUUAGUCGGAUACAGAACGGAUAUGACGUCAAGUUACUCACACUACGACGACUGCUGGAGUCUGAGCUGAAGGAGUUUCUGGUGAACCUGCAUCUAAUAUCGCCGGAAUCCGACCCGGUGGCACCGAUGACGAGCAUUAAGAAUAUAGAAAUAUCCAGUAUUCUAACUGAUGGUUUACUUAUAUAGGUCAUAUGGAGGCUUCCGUAUUAAACUGAGACUGUUUCAUAACCAGUUAAAAGUUCCUCACAGUAACUUUAAAGAAAGCAUCUGCUGCUUAUGAGUGAACAGCUCCCAGCGAAGACAAGAAUCUGCUCGUCUCAUCUCUGAAGCAUUUUAAAAGAAGUUCAAGCUCGGUGACUCGACGAGCAAGAAAGACACUUGUCGCAUUGCAUUGUGGGUUGAACGGCUCAGAGCAGCAACCUCUCUUAAAUAAGUCCACGACGGUGUACAUGAUGGACAACGCUGCAUCUCGUGCAUCUCACCUGCUCCUGCUUUUUUUCAAGGUCACCUCGCAACAAUUUCGAGCAUCUUCAUUACUUCCGUCGGCCCUCUUGUCGUUCCCAUAGCAACCCCGCUGAGCUGACAGAUGAGAGGCGCGGGAGUCGGCUUCCCACAUAGUCGGAAAAACACACACACACACACACACAUGCAGGCACACACAUUAAAACAAUGAGCGCAUAACUACAUCUGGGGAAGCGCGCUCUGCGUUGUUUUAAAAUAAACCCGGCAUCACAGGCGAGGUGUUGGAGGGAGAUUGUCGUACACAAAUAGGCCAUUAUGGCAAAAAGUGGAACACAAGGAGUCUCCUAUGAAAAGCGAGCAUUCUCUCUCUCUCUCCACUCCUGCCUCUCUCUCUCUCUCUCUCUCUCUCUCUCUCUUUGCUCUCUGUGUGUCUCUCUGCGGGCAGGCCGUGUGCGCCGCCAUGCUCGUUAUCAGAACAAACAGAGAUGAGGGUGGAAGAAUGGGGUACACGCCACGUACCAGAGAGGGGAGGAUGAAAGAGUACAAAACCAGAGCAAAUCAAACACCCGGCAUGAGGGGAAGCACCGGGGGAAUUGUUUCCAUCGGCGCGCACCUACUUCCAUAGGGAGCUUUACCAUUUUAGCGCAUUAAAGGCGUGCCACACCACAACACCAGAUUGUCAGCUCCUGAAAAAAAAUAAUUUAAUUCCAGUCCAUAUCAGAUGUGCAUUUCCCUCGAGGAUUUAAAAAGGGAAAAAAAAAAAGAGAGGGAGGCACUCCAAAGGCUGCAAUAGGCUUGUAAUGAAUAAGACAUUGCAUCAGAAUUGGAAAGACAGUGAAAUUUCCUUCCUGUCUGCUUGCUGGGAGACGAGGGAUGUAUCAUUACAGACUCUGUCUUUUUAUGUCCUUGGAAGUGUGAAUCCACAGUGAAACGAGGGGGGAGACAUUCCAAUAAAUCUAACAGGCGCAGCGAUGAGAAGAAGACAAGAGAAUCGGCACUAAAAAAUACAAAUAUGGUGUUUAGAUGAA